GUUAGGAAGAGCCAGGCAAUGGUGGCUCAGCCUGGAAUCCCUAGCUAAUAUCUGGAGAUUGUGGCUCAAAGCCAGCCUAGGCAGGAAAGUCCAUAAGAUUCCUUUUUUUUUUUUUGGGGGGGGGGGGGCGUCGGUCAUGGGGCUUGAACUCUAGGCCUGGGCUGGGCUGGGGCUCUGUCCCUGA